rnacentral:ncRNA from 11 species
AUGUACCACCCGUACACUGCAGGUGUGAGCGCGCCGUCCGCACCCACCUGACGACUGCGCGCUACGUUUUGUUAGCC